CCUACGGGCGGCAGCAGUGGGGAAUAUUGGACAAUGGGCGAAAGCCUGAUCCAGCCAUGUCGCGUGUGUGAAGAAGGCCUUCGGGUUGUAAAGCACUUUCAGUGGGGAAGAAAGCCUUGGGGCUAAUACCCUCGAGGAAGGACAUCACCCACAGAAGAAGCACCGGCUAACUCCGUGCCAGCAGCCGCGGUAAUACGGAGGGUGCGAGCGUUAAUCGGAAUUACUGGGCGUAAAGCGCGCGUAGGCGGUCUGAUAAGCCGGUUGUGAAAGCCCCGGGCUCAACCUGGGAACGGCAUCCGGAACUGUCAGGCUAGAGUGCAGGAGAGGAAGGUAGAAUUCCCGGUGUAGCGGUGAAAUGCGUAGAGAUCGGGAGGAAUACCAGUGGCGAAGGCGGCCUUCUGGACUGACACUGACGCUGAGGUGCGAAAGCGUGGGUAGCAAACAGGAUUAGAUACCCCAGUAGUC
rnacentral:rRNA from 1 species